rnacentral:rRNA from 1 species
GACAGAGGUGCCAAGCGUUAGGCGGAAUCACUGGGCUUAAAGCGUGUGUAGGCGGAAUUGUAAGUACCUUGUGAAAUCCCACGGCUCAACCGUGGAACUGCUCGGUAUACUGCUUUUCUUGAGCCACUUAGGGGCUGUCGGAACAAACGGUGGAGCGGUGAAAUGUGUUGAGAUUGGAAGGAACGCCAGUGGCGAAAGCGGCAUGCUGGAUCUCUACUGACGCUGAGGCGCGAAAGCUAGGGGAGCGAACGGG